UAGCUCAGUUGGUAGGAGCAUGGUGUUUUGCAACGCCAUGGUUGUGGGUUCGAUUCCCAC
rnacentral:tRNA from 1 species